GGCUCCGUGGCGUAACGUUAGCGUACCCGACACUUUAUCGGGGGGUGCAGUGUUCAAUUCCUGCCGGGGCCA
rnacentral:tRNA from 1 species